AAGAAAGAAGCAUGAGUGGCUAAUGCAGUUGGCUUGAAACCAGUGUAUGAGGGUUCGAUUCCUUCCUUUCUUG
rnacentral:tRNA from 1 species